UCAGGUGGCCGCAGAGAAUAGGCCCAAGCGACUGUUUACCAAAAACAUAGGUUUCUGCUAAGUCGCAAGACGAUGUAUAGGAGCUGACGCCUGCCCGGUGCUGGAAGGUUAAGGGGAUCUGUUAGAGUAAUCGAAGCAGUGAACUUAAGCCCCAGUAAACGGCGGCCGUAACUAUAACGGUCCUAAGGUAGCGAAAUUCCUUGUCGGGUAAGUUCCGACCCG
rnacentral:rRNA from 1 species